rnacentral:rRNA from 1 species
UGGGGAAUUUUGCACAAUGGGGGAAACCCUGAUGCAGCGACGCCGCGUGAUUUAGAAGGCCUUCGGGUUGUAAAAAUCUUUUCUAUGGGAAGAAAAUGACAGUACCAUAGGAAUAAGGACCGGCUAAUUACGUGCCAGCAGCCGCGGUAAUACGUAAGGUCCGAGCGUUGUCCGGAAUCAUUGGGCGUAAAGGGUACGUAGGCGGGUAAGCAAGUUAGAAGUGAAAUCCUGUAGCUCAACUACAGUAAGCUUUUAAAACUGCUCAUCUUGAGAUAUGGAAGGGAAAGUGGAAUCCCUAGUGUAGCGGUGAAAUGCGCAGAUAUUAGGAGGAAUACCGGUGGCGAAGGCGACUUUCUGGCCAUAAUCUGACGCUGAGGUACGAAAGCGUGGGUAGCAAACAGG